CCUAAGCUGAGGCCGAAAGGCGUAGGUGAUGGACAACAGGUUGAUAUUCCUGUACUACCGAUAACCGUUUGAGAGAAGGGAUGACACAGUAGGAUAAGCUAAGCACACUGUUGGUUAUGUGUGCCCAAGCAUUGAGGCGGUCAAAGUAGGCAAAUCCGCUUUGAUAAUGCUGGGAUGUGAUGGGGAGCGAAAUUUAGUAGCGAAGUAGCUGAUUUCACACUGUCAAGAAAAGUCUCUA
rnacentral:rRNA from 1 species